rnacentral:rRNA from 1 species
AGUGGGUAGUUUAACCUUUCGGGGAGGACGCUCACCACUUUGUGGUUCAUGACUGGGGUGAAGUCGUAACAAGGUAGCCCUAGGGGAACCUGGGGCUGGAUCACCUCCUUA